rnacentral:rRNA from 1 species
AAUCAACGCUGGCGGCGUGCCUCAGACAUGCAAGUCGAACGCGAAAGGUUCCUUCGGGGACCGAGUAGAGUGGCGCACGGGUGAGUAACACGUAGGUAAUUUCCCUUUGGGUGGGGAAUAACUCAGGGAAACUUGAGCUAAUACCGCAUAAUGCAGCGGCUCGACAUCGAGACAGUUGUUAAAGCGGGGGAUUCGCAAGAACCUCGCGCCUAAAGAGAAGCCUGCGGCAGAUUAGCUAGUUGGUAAGGUAAUGGCUUACCAAGGCGACGAUCUGUAACCGGCCUGAGAGGGCGGUCGGUCACACUGACACUGACAUACGGGUCAGACUCCUACGGGAGGCAGCAGUCGGGAAUUUUGGGCAAUGGGCGAAAGCCUGACCCAGCAACGCCGCGUGAAGGAUG